CCUACGGGUGGCAGCAGUGAGGAAUAUUGGUCAAUGGGCGGGAGCCUGAACCAGCCAAGUCGCGUGAGGGAAGACGGUCCUACGGAUUGUAAACCUCUUUUGCCGGGGAGCAAGGGUCCGUUUGCGAGGGCCCGAUGAGAGUACCCGGAGAAAAAGCAUCGGCUAACUCCGUGCCAGCAGCCGCGGUAAUACGGAGGAUGCGAGCGUUAUCCGGAUUUAUUGGGUUUAAAGGGUGCGUAGGCGGGCUGUUAAGUCAGCGGUCAAAUGUCGGGGCUCAACCCCGGCCUGCCGUUGAAACUGGCGGCCUCGAGUGGGCGAGAAGUAUGCGGAAUGCGUGGUGUAGCGGUGAAAUGCAUAGAUAUCACGCAGAACUCCGAUUGCGAAGGCAGCAUACCGGCGCCCAACUGACGCUGAGGCACGAAAGCGUGGGUAUCGAACAGGAUUAGAUACCCUAGUAGUCC
rnacentral:rRNA from 1 species